GCAACUAAAAUAUACCUGCGGGGCCAGUCAGACACCUCUCAGAAUGUAGCAGUGGAACUGAGCGAGGUACCCAGAACAUGCUGACCAUAUCCCAGCCAGUGCCUCUGCCUCAUUACAUCUCUCAGCAGCCUGAAUCCAUGGUGAGGGACAACAUGCAGGAAUACCAGGAAUUGAAGAGCAUCUCACUUCUACACGGUGUCAGUUAUAGCUUUGGGCUCCACACACAAAGCCGUGAACUGUACAGAAGCUGCCAGAGCCCGAUCUCCUUCUGCACCCUGUACUGAUUUUGAAGAAAACUCGAUGUGCAGAGAGAACUGUGGCAGAUGGAUCAUUCUCUUCACAAAAUAAAAAUGCCUAGCACACAUCUUGGAAGAAUUCAAAAUGUA